CAGUCGCCGCGGGAAUACAGAGGGUGCGAGCGUUAAUCGGAUUUACUGGGCGUAAAGCGUGCGUAGGCGGCUUCUUAAGUCGGAUGUGAAAUCCCUGAGCUUAACUUAGGAAUUGCAUUCGAUACUGGGAAGCUAGAGUAUGGGAGAGGAUGGUAGAAUUCCAGGUGUAGCGGUGAAAUGCGUAGAGAUCUGGAGGAAUACCGAUGGCGAAGGCAGCCAUCUGGCCUAAUACUGACGCUGAGGUACGAAAGCAUGGGAAGCAAACAGGAUUAGAUACCCCUGUAGUCCCUGUCUCUUAUAC
rnacentral:rRNA from 1 species